AUGUCUUCUUAUCCAAUUGAAAU
rnacentral:snRNA from 1 species